UUAUUAGCAUUUUAAGGGAUUGUCGGAGCAUUCCCAGGGUCUGAGGCCGCGCUUUCAUUAAGAAGCGAGGCGGCUCCAUUCAGGCGUUAUCUGAUGGGAUCUGUUGUGAAUUUAUUGGGGCAUCAAGCGGGCGCGGCGCGGGCGCAGCCGGUGUAGCGCGGUAGCGGCCUUAAAUUCAACAAUUUAGUACCUCUCAUAAAGCGGGCAGUAGCCGCCGCCGUCACCAAUAAUUUCUCUUAUUGUCUCGAUAAAUUAGCUUAAUUAGGGUGUAAAAAACGCGGCGAGCGUGGAAUCUAGUGCGGAGACGCGGUGGGUGGGCGCGGGCCCUAAUUAGUGGCGGGACGACGCUGCCGCCGCGAUAGCCCCGGCCGAGAUAACGCGCGGCUCACCUGGACAGACACGUCUAUCUAAGUGAGCCUAAGAAAAUACCUACAGGACAAGAACGACCCUGUCUCAUCCCGCGCAGGCGCAUCUACCAGUACUGCCUACACCCUGCUGAUCAAUAGACGAGGCUCCGGUGAGACAACCGCAUGCAGCCAUUAUAUAGUGGUCAAGUAUACCUCGACGACAGCACGAUCCAGCGGGGGCGUGGCCGGGUGCGCGCGCGCAGGAAUGCCGCGCCUGCUCUCCGCACCCGCAGCCCGCAGCGCGCAGCCCCGCACACAGAGGCCGCGCUGUGUGCUGUAUCAGCUGCGUCCAUGCGCGGCAAUCAAAGCCGCCGCGGACACCGCCGCGUAUCGCGCUCAUCUCUAUACUACCUCGUACGUGACCAGCAAUAAAUACCCAUGGAACUAAUAACUUUUCAGAGGUAUUCACUUAACUCAGAUUAAUACUAACAAUUAAGAUAAACGAAUUAUAGGCUACGCUGUUGUAUUUCUUACUAUAAAACAAUAUACUUAAUGAAUAUUUUGAUGACAGUUAAAUACAAAUUAUGAAACGAAUGGCAUGGCAACUUUAGGUAAUUGGGAAGAUGUUCGCGGGUUGGAAGGUCAGACGGGCAGUCGCUUCUGUAAAAAACCGGUCCUGUCAAAUCUUCAGGUUAGGUUAGCGGACUCGGGACCUGUGAAAACGGGACAAUGCUAGGGAGUAGGGAAGAUGUUUUGGUCGAGAUAAUCGUUGGGUUAACUUAGGCCAGACACUUAGGUGGCGCAAGCCUAGCUUAAUAGGAGUAACAAAAUGAUAUUAAAUGGGAUAAUGAGGCAUUGUGGCUGUGAAGGUGGUUCAUUAUCGGAUGUUGAGGAGCAGCGGCAGCAGACAAUCGCGCGGCGACAAUGCCGACACAAUGCGCCCCG